UUGGGAAAAGUUUUUUAUACAAAACGGUGGGACUUGGUAUAGCAAGCUUACGGAGAAUUUGCCCUUUAAAGGGAAUAAAUGAAAGGGGGUUUAUUUAAGGGAAAUUGUGGAGAAUGGCAAACUAAGAAAGGUAAUUAAAUCAAAUAAAUCCCCUUUUAGUUAUUUUCUUUAAAGGACAAACUCUCUGUAAGUUUGUUAUACCAGGUCACACCAUUUUGUAUGAUUUUGCCCAUUUUGAGUUGGCAUUUCUUAUAUGGCUUAUUUUGGUCAACAUUAUGAGUUUUGAGCAUCAUAUCCCCAAAAUAAAAUCCUCUUUUUCCCUCUUUGUGCGCUUUUUAUACAAUUUCUUCUUCAUCCUUCAAUUUUUUCACAAUUUUCUCCAUAAUUGCAAUUUCAAACUACCAGCUUUAUCUAUCACGCACGUCAUUGUGUUUUUUCAAACUAUUUCAAAAAUUUCAAGAAUUUUGGUUUCAAUCAAUGGAUGCCCAAUCUCCAUUGAGAAGAUUCACAAGAGGUUCAUUGUGUAAAUCUACUACCGUUCAAGAGAUUAGAUCCAAAUUCAAUGAUGACCCAAUUAGAUUUGUUGAUGGAGGUGUAAAAAAUCAUGUCGAUGUUGUUACUGGGUCAAGUAAGAAAAGGAAAAA